rnacentral:sRNA from 1 species
CAAUUCACUUUAAGCUCACAACAUUUUACAGUUAGCGAAAAGAGCGAGUCAGAGAGGCCGUAAGACAGGUGCUGACAUGAAUAGCUCCCUUCAAUGGGAAGUAAUACACACAUUUUUACAGCGUUAUCUAUGAUCAAACGGAAAACACGAUUUCCCCGAUUGCCACCCGCCAAAGGCCAUCACAAUGUCAUUGUUUUCUUACAUCAGAGAUUGCAGGAACCUUGGCUGGGUAGUUAGACAAAUCCACAUCAAGCAAGUCUGUCAGGUCGUAAAGCCCUACAUUAUCAACUCUGUCCUUGAUUGGGGUGCUCAUUGUUUCUUCCUGAUCUGCCUGGUUUGACGAUACGCUUGAUGUCACCGCACUGUUCGCAGGCAUCACAGAGAUGCCAGACAAUUCUACAUCCCGCCCGGAUGGCACGGUACUCACUGAAGGAUACUUCCUUUGAGUGCUGUCUCCCUCAUUGUGAUUGUACAGCACAUAUUCGUUAUAGGUAGGUGCAAACUGAUGAACAGUAUCAUGGUAGAAAUCAUUGAACUUCAGAGCAUGCAGAAGGCUUCCCUUGAAAUCACCAGAAGGUCGACCAUUGGGACCAGCAUACUCGUUGUAAGGAAAUGCAAAUAGGUGGCCAAUAGCUGCUAUGAGCAUUUCAACACACAAUACGAAGUUCUGGAGAUCAGCAGCUUUUUCAGCAUUUUUGAUAAACCGAGAUUUUGCAGCAAGGAAAACCAGGACACCCUGCCAAUAUGUGAGAAACACUACUGAUUUGAUCAUGAUGAAUUUUGGGACAGGAUUAUAUGGCCGAAGCAGAUCUCUGCAUGCCGCAUAGAACACCGCAAGAGCAUAUAGUGCCAUUGAGUAUGAGACUGUAUAUAUGAUAGUAAUGUAUAGAUAGGAUUGCUUGACACUAAAGUUUCCAUCUGCGUAUUUUCCUUUCGCAUAAAGUAUGAAGGUAAUAACCACCAAAAUAGGCUUAAGAAUCACAAACUGCAAACAGCCUUGUUUGCAUCUCCGAAUAAAACGCCCAUCUAGAGGAAUAGCUGGAAAACAGCAAGUCAUCAGAAACCACGAUGGCUUCAGGGUUCGCCCAUUCAAACUUACCACCACAGCACCAGGACCUCCAACCCAUGCCAAGCAAAGUGAAAAGAAAUUGUAGAUGACCCAAGCAUCAUACAUCUCUCGAAUAGAAUUAAAAUAUAUUGAAUUAUCUGGUAAGAUAAGGGAAAGGAACGACAUCACGGCAUAGACCUGCAACAAAUAAACAUCAUCAGAGUUAAUAUGCUGAAGUGCUGCAAACAAAAUCAAUUCAAUAUAAGGGCUAAAUGUAAAUGUACACCAGAUGAAA